UAAAUUGAUAGAUAACCUGCUCAUUAGUUGAAAGACUGGUAAGUAAAGGAAGGAAGAUAGGACUGUGGAGGAUAUGGGCUUGGAGUGUAAAGUCUUGUUAGGGCAAGAUGAUGAGAGCUCUUGUGGAAUAUGUUGGCUUUGUGAAGUCUGUGUGUCAAUGGCUCACUAGAGGAGGCAAUGCUCGCUCCUAAGCAAGUGAUUUUGAAGGCCUAUCACUAUAAUCUUUUGGCAAUAUUCACACUGUAGCUAUGCGAUGAAUGCGAUCGCAGGUCAAGCUGCUGGUGUUCAGUUUCCCUGCAGAGCUUCACAGUACUUCCU